AAACGUUGUGUUUCAUAAGAUGAACCUGGUCCUUCACUGAGUUCAUUUCUCAUUCUUCAAAACUUCAACUGAACUUGGACCAACAAAUUUCCCCUUUUUGAUGAUGACAAACUCUGUGCUUUUACUGAUCAGAGAACCUGUGGAACUCAGCUAAUUAUCAACACACUUUUACUUAAGAAUUUUAACUCAUCAUUAAGGACCAGAUUUAAUCAGGUUAUAAAUAUUACUUUUUUCAGA
rnacentral:lncRNA from 1 species